AUCACACCUGCGGUGUUACUGGCUGUUUCUCUUAGAAGGUCUUUCUGAUAUCUGCGUCCUCUUUCCAGAUCUGCUGCUCCCUGGAAUCAUGUUCCUGGCUCCUGGUAGUCCCUGACUUUACCUGUCUGUUCCAGAAACCUGCUUUAUGGCCAUUUGUUCUGAUGAUCAGUUUGGACAACCACCCUUUAUUCCACCACCUCAGACCAUAUUCAACAUCCUGUAACCAUCAUAGCACCAACAACACUAAACUUCAGAAAGAAACUGAGCCGGUCUCAAGUCAUCUGCAAACUGAGGGCUUGAACCAUUGUCACAGCCUCCUACAGUUCUUGGGAAUGGUAGAAAGAUGUGUCAUGAGAAGUAAAGAAUUAAGAGUUUUCAACUGGCCCGAGGAGAAGGAACAGUCUCAUUUACUGUGCUAUAUGGCAUCAUAAAUCAGCAAGAAUAAUGCCGGUGUGACUGUAAUCUGGUAUUAAUUUGGACACUAAAAACUUAAUGCUUUCCUGGCUAACCCUCAGAAAUGCUGAAGGACAAUCUGGAACGAUGUCACUGGCGCACUCUGAGUCCCUCUGGAGGUGCGUGUUUGGGAAUUUGGAGAGUCCCUCUGCAGGUGGGUUGUGUUAGGUUUAUGGAUGAUUACAAAUGCCAUCAAUGAGUAAUCCAAGGGCUAGGAAAAUGGUGCAUUGAGUGUCUUCAACCGUUCAUCCUUCAUUUUUCUUAAUGCUGAAUCAAGUCUCUGUUCCACUCAGGUAUAUAAAAAAUCCUGAAAGCAAGAAUGCUGAAAUAUUUAUGAAAAAUAUAGGUUUAUACUUUUCUUUAUGGAUGGAUACAUUAACAUUAUUUGCUAAAAGAACCAAAUCAACAUUCUUUUCUGCCACCUCAUUUUUUCAGACUUGCCCUGUGGGUGACU
rnacentral:lncRNA from 1 species